CCAGGUUGAUCCUGCCAGUAGUCAUACGCUCGUCUCAAAGAUUAAGCCAUGCAUGUCUAAGUAUAAAUAUUUUACUGUGAAACUGCAAAUGGCUCAUUACAACAGUUAUAGUUUAUUUGAUAAUCCCUUUAUUGUUGGAUAACUGUAGUAAUUCUAGAGCUAAUACAUGCAUAAAUACCUGACUAUUUUGGAAAGGUAGUAUUUAUUACAUAUAAACCGACCCUCCUCGGAGGUGAUUUUGGUGAUUCAUAAUAUUUUUACGAAUCGCAUGGCUAUAUGCCGGCGAUAGAUCAUUCAAGUAUCUGCCCUAUUAGAUUUGAAGGUAGUGUAUUGGAUUACCUUGUCAAUGAUGGGUAACGGAGAAUUAGGGUCUGAUUCCGGAGAGGGAGCCUGAGAGACAGCUACCACAUCCAAGGAAGGCAGCAGGCGCGUAAAUUACCCAAUCCUGAUACAGGGAGGUAGUGACAAUAAAUAACAAUGCUGGGUCCAAUAGGAUCGGGCAAUUGGAAUGAGAACAAUUCAAAUCCAUUAUCAAGGAUCAAUUGGAGGGCAAGUCUGGUGCCAGCAGCCGCGGUAAUUCCAGCUCCAAUAGCGUAUAUUAAAGUUGUUGCAGUUAAAAAGCUCGUAGUUGAAUUUCUGGUGAGAGUGAUCAAUCCAGCUCUCUGAGUUGGUACUUGCAGCAUCUCUCAUCAUCUUUCAGAAAAACCUUUCUGGCAUUAAAUUGUUGGGAAGGGGACCCUGAUCUUUUACUGUGAAAAAAUUAGAGUGUUCAAAGCAGGCUUAUGUCAUUGAAUAUAUUAGCAUAGAAUAAUAACAUAAGACUAUGGUACUAUUUUGUUGGUUUGUGUACCAUGGUAAUGAUGAAUAGGGAUAGUGGAGGGUAUUUGUAUUCCAUUGUCAGAGGUGAAAUUCUUGGAUUUAUGGAAGACAAACUACUGCGAAAGCAUUCACCAAGGAUGUUUUCAUUAAUCAAGAACAAAAGUUAGGGGAUCGAAGAUGAUUAGAUACCAUCGUAGUCCUAACCAUAAACUAUGCCAACUAGGGAUUGGCAGUCUAUUCUAUGAUACUGUCAGCACCUUAUGAGAAAUCAAAGUUUUUAGGUUCUGGGGGGAGUAUGGUCGCAAGUCUGAAACUUAAAGAAAUUGACGGAAGGGCACCACCAGGAGUGGAGCCUGCGGCUUAAUUUGAC
rnacentral:rRNA from 1 species